rnacentral:rRNA from 1 species
GUGUGGAAUCUUAGACAAUGGGGGAAACCCUGAUCUAGCCAUGCCGCGUGAGCGAUGAAGGCCUUAGGGUUGUAAAGCUCUUUCAGCUGGGAAGAUAAUGACGGUACCAGCAGAAGAAGCCCCGGCUAACUCCGUGCCAGCAGCCGCGGUAAUACGGAGGGGGCUAGCGUUGUUCGGAAUUACUGGGCGUAAAGCGCGCGUAGGCGGACCAGAAAGUUGGAGGUGAAAUCCCAGGGCUCAACCUUGGAACUGCCUUCAAAACUCCUGGUCUGGAGUUCGAGAGAGGUGAGUGGAAUUCCGAGUGUAGAGGUGAAAUUCGUAGAUAUUCGGAGGAACACCAGUGGCGAAGGCGGCUCACUGGCUCGAUACUGACGCUGAGGUGCGAAAGCGUGGGGAGCAAACAGGAUUAGAAACCCUGGUAGUCC